rnacentral:rRNA from 1 species
GACGUAGGGCGCGAGCGUUGUCCGGAUUUAUUGGGCGUAAAGAGCUCGUAGGCGGCUUGUUGCGUCGACUGUGAAAACCUGCGGCUCAACCGUGUGGUCUGCAGUCGAUACGGGCAGGCUGGAGUUCGGUAGGGGAGACUGGAAUUCCUGGUGUAGCGGUGAAAUGCGCAGAUAUCAGGAAGAACACCAAUGGCGAAAGCAGCUUUCUGGGACGGUACUGACGCUGAGACGCGAAAGCGUGGGGAGCGAACAGG